CUCCUCUUUGACAGCAGCAUAUUCAGAGUCGAACUCCUGUUUGGUGUCCUCCUGCAGAUGGAGGCCAUCUCUCCUGUCAGCGGCGGAGCAGCUGGACGCAUCUUCGCCGUGCUCGUCGCAGAUUUCGGCUGCACUGAGAGGAGCAGUUGUCCCCGACAAAGCCGAAGUGGCACUGGCAGUUUCCUGGAGAUGUGCACGUUCCAUUGACACAACCUUGUGCACACACCGGCUCACAUUGACCAGAAAGACUGCAAGGUGCAGUGAUAUCCCUGAGGCAGGUCGUGGCAGUCCUGGGUGCUGUUGCAGUGAUGGUGGCCGUUCGCACAUUCAUCCUCCUGUGGACAGCGCAGGAAAGACCAACUAGUGUUUCCUAGCGGACAAACCUCUUCACUCACACCUGGAAGCAAAAAUAAACUCCUCUUCCUUCCGCUGCUCCACAAUCCUGGGGGCAUAUUGGGCGAUCACAGUGUGGCCCCCCAUACCCCUGAGGACACUGGCACAGCCCCCCCUGGCACUGGGCUCCACCCGGACACGUGGAUGAUCCCUGUUCAUCUCCCUCAGAGCUCUGCCGGCAUCGCCGGACCCAGAAAGACGCAUUGAAGCCCUGUGGUUUGUUUGAGGACAGUGUUCCAGGUCUGGGCUGUCACGCAACAGACAGCGGGAUAAAGAUGGACACCAGCCACAAGACUGGUCAGACAGACAGGCCAGGCAAGACAUGUAUCCUGCGCAGGAACCUGAGCGGAACGGCUCCAAGAACAGAAAGGAGAUCUCCUAUGACAUGAAAUGAAAAAAAAAGAGAAAAAUACAAUAACUACAAUGAAAAAA